rnacentral:tRNA from 1 species
GGGGCGUUAGCUCAGCGGUAGAGCAGGGGACUUUUAAUCCCUUGGUCGCGGGUUCGAAUCCCGCACGCCUCA